rnacentral:tRNA from 1 species
GGGCUGGAAGCUCACCAGGUAGAGCGCCGCACUGGCAGUGCGGAGGUAGCGGGUUCGAUUCCCGUCCGGUCCAC